CGUUCUGUAAGCCUGUGAAGGUGUGCUGUGAGGCAUGCUGGAGGUAUCAGAAGUGCGAAUGCUGACAUAAGUAACGAUAAAGCGGGUGAAAAGCCCGCUCGCCGGAAGACCAAGGGUUCCUGUCCAACGUUAAUCGGGGCAGGGUGAGUCGACCCCUAAGGCGAGGCCGAAAGGCGUAGUCGAUGGGAAACAGGUUAAUAUUCCUGUACUUGGUGUUACUGCGAAGGGGGGACGGAGAAGGCUAUGUUGGCCGGGCGACGGUUGUCCCGGUUUAAGCGUGUAGGCUGGUUUUCCAGGCAAAUCCGGAAAAUCAAGGCUGAGGCGUGAUGACGAGGCACUACGGUGCUGAAGCAACAAAUGCCCUGCUUCCAGGAAAAGCCUCUAAGCAUCAGGUAACAUCAAAUCGUACCCCAAACCGACACAGGUGGUCAGGUAGAGAAUACCAAGGCGCUUGAGAGAACUCGGGUGAAGGAACUAGGCAAAAUGGUGCCGUAACUUCGGGAGAAGGCACGCUGAUAUGUAGGUGAAGUCCCUCGCGGAUGGAGCUGAAAUCAGUCGAAGAUACCAGCUGGCUGCAACUGUUUAUUAAAAACACAGCACUGUGCAAACACGAAAGUGGACGUAUACGGUGUGACGCCUGCCCGGUGCCGGAAGGUUAAUUGAUGGGGUCAGCGCAAGCGAAGCUCUUGAUCGAAGCCCCGGUAAACGGCGGCCGUAACUAUAACGGUCCUAAGGUAGCGAAAUUCCUUGUCGGGUAAGUUCCGACCUGCACGAAUGGCGUAAUGAUGGCCAGGCUGUCUCCACCCGAGACUCAGUGAAAUUGAACUCGCUGUGAAGAUGCAGUGUACCCGCGGCAAGACGGAAAGACCCCGUGAACCUUUACUAUAGCUUGACACUGAACAUUGAGCCUUGAUGUGUAGGAUAGGUGGGAGGCUUAGAAGUGUGGACGCCAGUCUGCAUGGAGCCGACCUUGAAAUACCACCCUUUAAUGUUUGAUGUUCUAACGUUGACCCGUAAUCCGGGUUGCGGACAGUGUCUGGUGGGUAGUUUGACUGGGGCGGUCUCCUCCUAAAGAGUAACGGAGGAGCACGAAGGUUGGCUAAUCCUGGUCGGACAUCAGGAGGUUAGUGCAAUGGCAUAAGCCAGCUUGACUGCGAGCGUGACGGCGCGAGCAGGUGCGAAAGCAGGUCAUAGUGAUCCGGUGGUUCUGAAUGGAAGGGCCAUCGCUCAACGGAUAAAAGGUACUCCGGGGAUAACAGGCUGAUACCGCCCAAGAGUUCAUAUCGACGGCGGUGUUUGGCACCUCGAUGUCGGCUCAUCACAUCCUGGGGCUGAAGUAGGUCCCAAGGGUAUGGCUGUUCGCCAUUUAAAGUGGUACGCGAGCUGGGUUUAGAACGUCGUGAGACAGUUCGGUCCCUAUCUGCCGUGGGCGCUGGAGAACUGAGGGGGGCUGCUCCUAGUACGAGAGGACCGGAGUGGACGCAUCACUGGUGUUCGGGUUGUCAUGCCAAUGGCACUGCCCGGUAGCUAAAUGCGGAAGAGAUAAGUGCUGAAAGCAUCUAAGCACGAAACUUGCCCCGAGAUGAGUUCUCCCUGACUCCUUGAG
rnacentral:rRNA from 1 species